AAAGAAUCCAAAUUCCCCUAAUUCCCAAAUCGUGAAAGAAAGUCAAACCCUUUUCCUUCCUUCUCCACUCUCCAAUCCACAUGGCGCACCCGACACUUCGUCUCCAAUCUAUAAUUCAAAUUUCCCUUCAAAGUCGAAGAAGAGGCAAGGCGGGUAGGCUCUAGGCGGCACAGAUUCAUUAGACAUUUGACGCAAUUUCGGAAUCUCUGGUUUCAAAAAAAUCACGUAAGAUAUAGUGUUAUUAGACAUCUAAUCAACACACUUACACACAGUGAAAAUUUAUGUUAAUCGCCGAAUUUGAAUUUUACAAUAAUCAACACUAAACUGUAUGAUGGUAUUCCAUCUGUGAAUCUGUGAUCUGUCUAAAAAUUUUGAUUCAUUUUUUGUGCAAUUUACUAGAAUUAGAUAGUUAUAAUUAAUAAUUUAAUAUGAAGGAUGCUCAUUUCAUCUAUUAUGCUGCACAUAGGAGAUUGGAGAGGAUGUGUUUUGCAACUUCUGUUGUGGACUGUCGAGCCGAGUCCGAGUCUGAGUCUGCUGACUAGUGACUCUUUCUCCCUCUCUUCAUCUUUUUUUUUUUUUUUUUGUUUAAUUUCGUUGGCUACUUGAGUUAUCGAUGUUGAGUGAUGAAUGUUUAAUUGUUAAUUAUGUUAUGAUUAUUGACUUAUUGUGUCGGGAAUUUAUGUUUACAAAAUUAUGUUUGUGAAUUGUGGUUUAUGAUAAGUAAUUUACGAUUUAUGAGUUAUGAUUAUUGAUAUGGG
rnacentral:lncRNA from 1 species